GACGAACGCUGGAGGCGUGCUUAACACAUGCAAGUCGAACGAUGAAAUGGAGCUUGCUCCAUGGAUUAGUGGCGAACGGGCGAGUAACACGUGAAUAACCUGCCCUUAAUUUUGGAAUAACCCAGGGAAACCUGGGCUAAUACCGGAUAAGUAAACCUGUGGCAUCACAUGGUUUUGGAAAGUUUUUCGAUUAAGGAUGGAUUCGCGGCCUAUCAGCUUGUUGGUGAGGUAAUGGCUCACCAAGGCGACGACGGGUAGCCGGCCUGAGAGGGUGAACGGCCACACUGGGACUGAGACACGGCCCAGACUCCUACGGGAGGCAGCAGUGGGGAAUAUUGCGCAAUGGACGAAAGUCUGACGCAGCGACGCCUCGUGAGGGACGAAGGUCUUCGGAUUGUAAACCUCUUUCAGCAGGGACGAAGCGAAAGUGACGGUACCUGCAGAAGAAGCACCGGCUAACUAUGUGCCAGCAGCCGCAGUAA
rnacentral:rRNA from 1 species